rnacentral:misc_RNA from 1 species
GGAUGUGGAAAUCUGGAUCUCCUUUAACUUUAAUGUGAAUUUGUGAAUUCUGGAUUUGGUUUGUUUAGGUCCUUCUCGGAUUUUUCUUGAUAAAAUGUUGUGUUUGCUCUAUAGCUCGAUUUUUUUCUUUUAAUAGAUCUAGAAUCCUGGAUCUUUGCAGUUCUCCGCGUUCUAUCAAGUUGACUUACUUAGUAAUGUGUGCGUAUAGAGUUCAAUUAAUUUGUUGGAGCAAUAAAU